rnacentral:lncRNA from 1 species
AUCUUCUUCUUCUUCUUCUUCUCCCCCAUGCUCACCCCCAUGUCCACCCCAACCCCAAACCGAAAAUCUAUCGUCACUACUACCUCGCCCAAAAUCGACCACCACUCCCCGACAACCAGUGGCCUGGCCAUCUUCAAGAGCCUAAUUUCUACUCUAUUAUUGAUAGCCAUUUUCUCAACCUUUACCUUUGCUCAACCAUUUCGGUCAAGGGCAUCAAGGCUAGCUGCUGCCCAAAACUGAGCAUUUCCCUUGGUUGGAAACUAACUUGUGCUUCAUAAAAUCCAACAUCCACAAUACAGUAGUCCUCAGCAAUUACAGGCCAUAAAUUGUACUUGUUCUGACAUCGACAGGCUAACCCCAAACUGCAUCUCCUAGAUAUCUCACCCAUGGCUUCUUCAACCGCCUUUAAAAAUGGUCUUGAAGUAAUUUGAUUGGAUCAAUUUUGGGCCAGGUGGUGGUGAUGAGGGAUUUUCGGUUUGGGGUUGGGGUUCGAGUGAGUGUGCAGGAGACGAAGAAGAUUUUUUUCCUUUUUAUUUUGUUUUAUUCUUUUUUUUUUUUGUUUUUUAUUUAAGUUUUGUAAUGUG